rnacentral:tRNA from 1 species
GCAUCUGUAUAGCUCAGUUGGUUAGAGCGCUGCACCGGAAUCGCAGGGCCGUAGGUUCAAUUCCUACCAGAGGAC